rnacentral:rRNA from 1 species
UACGUAGGGUGCAAGCGUUGUCCGGAAUUAUUGGGCGUAAAGGGCUCGUAGGCGGUCUGUCACGUCGGGAGUGAAAACUCAGGGCUUAACCCUGAGCCUGCUUCCGAUACGGGCAGACUAGAGGUAUGCAGGGGAGAACGGAAUUCCUGGUGUAGCGGUGAAAUGCGUAGAUAUCUGGAGGAACACCGGUGGCGAAGGCGACAUCCUGGACCGGUAUUG